rnacentral:rRNA from 1 species
GCUUAGCAUAUAUUAUUGAUGUUGCAAUUAAAACGUUCGUAGUCGACUUUUCUCUACUGAUGUGAGUGGAAUCUUUGAUUCCACUUCACUGAUGGUAGAUAUCGUGUAGCUAUAUACCUCAUAUGUUCUAUAUGAGGUUUAUAUGCUAUACAUUACUUUGAGUGAAUCGGCGUGUUCCACGCAGGCUAAUGCCUUGAACGAUUUACCAUAGUAUAAAUACAUUAUAACAAUGUUUCUCCGUUCGUUCGGAAAUAUUGUUUAUAAUGAAAAGAACGGUCGAGGGCAUCCAUAUUCAACUGCUAGAGGUGAAAUUCUUUGACCAGUUGAGGAUGAACAACGGCGAAAGCAUCUGCCAAGAACGUUUCUGUUGA